ACGGGUGAGUAAUGCAUCGGAAUGUACCGUGUAAUGGGGGAUAGCUCGGCGAAAGCCGGAUUAAUACCGCAUACGCCCUGAGGGGGAAAGUGGGGGACCGUAAGGCCUCACGUUAUACGAGCAGCCGAUGUCUGAUUAGCUAGUUGGUGGGGUAAAGGCUCACCAAGGCAACGAUCAGUAGCGGGUCUGAGAGGAUGAUCCGCCACACUGGGACUGAGACACGGCCCAGACUCCUACGGGAGGCAGCAGUGGGGAAUUUUGGACAAUGGGCGCAAGCCUGAUCCAGCCAUGCCGCGUGUCUGAAGAAGGCCUUCGGGUUGUAAAGGACUUUUGUCCGGGAGCAAAUCCCAGUGGUUAAUACCUACUGGGGCUGAGAGUACCGGAAGAAUAAGCACCGGCUAACUACGUGCCAGCAGCCGCGGUAAUACGUAGGGUGCAAGCGUUAAUCGGAAUUACUGGGCGUAUAGCGUGCGCAGGCGGUUGUGCAAGUCUGAUGUGAAAGCCCCGGGCUUAACCUGGGAACGGCAUUGGAGACUGCACGACUAGAGUGCGUCAGAGGGGGGUAGAAUUCCGCGUGUAGCAGUGAA
rnacentral:rRNA from 1 species